AGGAUGCAACUGCUGCUGCGGAUGCUUUGGAUAAGUUGAGUGUUGAAGAGAAGAAAACUGAGGAGAAAGCUGUCGAAGAGUCACCAACUGCAGCCAAGGAAGAGGAAACUAAGACCUGUGAAGAUAAGAAAGAGGAGAAGCCCGAUCCCUCAACUUGAGGGUUGAUUGUUUGUUUUCUCAUUCCCUUGGCGGUAUGAUGAAGUUGGGUGUCAACCACAUGUCUCGUCCAUUUUGACAAUUUUCUCAUGCUCUUGAAAUUUGUUGGACCUGGUUUAUGGGUGACGAAUGGUUUGGGGUCUAUGCAUUCUGCAGUUUGAUUCUGCUAGCUUUUGGUCAAACUUUGGGUCAUGUUUGCAUGUUGAGG
rnacentral:lncRNA from 1 species